rnacentral:rRNA from 1 species
AACGAACGCUGGCGGCGCGCCUAAUACAUGCAAGUCGAGCGAGAAGACGUAGCAAUACGUUUGUAAAGCGGCGAACGGGUGAGGAAUACAUGGGUAACCUACCCUCGAGUGGGGAAUAACUAGCCGAAAGGUUAGCUAAUACCGCGUACGCUUCUUGGACUUCGGUUCAGGGAGGAAAGCGAUACCGUGGGUAUCGCGCUCUUGGAUGGGCUCAUGUCCUAUCAGCUUGUUGGUGAGGUAACGGCUCACCAAGGCUUCGACGGGUAGCUGGUCUGAGAGGACCAUCAGCCACACUGGAACUGCGACACGGGCCAGACUCCUACGGGAGGCAGCAGUAAGGAAUAUUGCGCAAUGGGCGAAAGCCUGACGCAGCGACGCCGCGUGGGGGAUGAAGGUCUUCGGAUUGUAAACCCCUUUCGGGAGGGAAGAUGGAACGAGCAAUCGUUCGGACGGUACCUCCAGAAGCAGCCACGGCUAACUUCGUGCCAGCAGCCGCCGUAACAC